AGCAGUAGAUGGCGUGGGUGGCCAGCAUGCUCAGCGGCACUAAGACAGCUGAGUCACACAUAUAUACAGAGCCGGAAAAAUACUGACAAAAAAGAGCUGCUAUUGUUGAGAAAUUCUACCGAGUCCACUGUUGUCCGAGAACCACCGGCCUGUGACACGAUCAGGAAAGAUGCUAACUAUAACACUGAAGACACUCCAACAGCAGACGUUCAGAAUCGAAAUAGACCCAGAACUGACGAUUGCUUACUUGUUCUUGGGGGUGACCUCAGCUUUGGACUAAAUGAAGAAAUGGACAGCUGAAUUCAGCAGGAACUCAGCGCAAUUGGCUGUCCACAAAUAUAGUUAAACAGUACAUGAUCAAUUUCAGACUUUGCGAUGCAUGGCAUUCCCUCCACCCUAACCGUGAAAGCCCUGAAGGAGAAAAUAGAAGAGCACAGAGGUAAAGAUGCAUUUCCUUCAGUGGGACAGAAACUCAUCUAUGCAGGCAAAAUCUUAAACGAUGAUAUCCCACUGAAAGAGUACAAAAUCGAUGAGAAGAACUUUGUGGUGGUCAUGGUUACCAAGCCCAAACCAACCUCUCCUGCUGAAGCAGCCACUCACUCAGUUCCCACGCCAGCUGCAACUCCAGUGCCACCCCCAGCUGCAGCCCCAGCACCAGCCUCUGGCCCAAAACAGGUGCCCUCCACACCAACACACACAACGUCCGCUGCUGUACCUGCCUCACAGUCAGUGCCUCCCUCGGAAGCCCCGCCCUCUGUUCAAGAAAACACCACUGUGGCUUCUGUUGGCGCAACAGCAAAACCCACCUUGGACUCACACUCAGAAUCAGCUCCGGCCUCUGGUUCCACAGCCCCUGUUGCCUCUUCCACAGCUCCUGAAGCUGUAGAGGAAGCCCCCGCAUUAGUCCCUUCAGAUAGCCCCACCCCUGCUGCCCAGACAGAAGAAGAGCUGAGGGAAGACCCAGAGAAUGAACCAUCUGACACAGCACCAGUCCAGUCCUCUGCUUCAAGCCUCGUUGAUGAACUGGGUCUUCUUGAAGAAGCAGCAUCAAUACUGGUGACUGGACCAGAAUAUGAAAACCUGGUGUCAGAGAUUAUGUCGAUAGGAUAUGAGCGGGAGCAAGUUGUUGCUGCACUAAGAGCCAGUUACAACAACCCAGACAGAGCAGUGGAGUACUUGCUCAUGGGUAUUCCAGCAAGGGCUAGUGAUCUGCACAAUCCACAGCCAAGUAGACAUAGUACUCCAGCCAACCCCUCUACACCUUCUACAGAAGAACCGCCACAGCAGCCUCCAGCACCCCCCAGUAGGCCUGUGUCCGGCAGCCAGCCUGUCACUGCUGGAGGAGGGUCUGGCUCCAUAGGGAACCCUCUGGAGUUCCUGAGGAACCAGCCUCAGUUCCAGCAGAUGAGACAGAUCAUCCAGCAGAACCCAGCCCUCCUGCCAGCCCUGCUGCAACAGCUCGGGAGAGACAACCCACAGCUGCUGCAGCAAAUCACAGAGCACCAGGAGCGUUUUGUACAGAUGCUCAAUGAGCCACAAGCUGGAGAUACAGGAGGAGAAGAUGCUGAUGCCCAUGGGUCACCACACACUAACUACAUCCAGGUCACCCCACAGGAGAAAGAGGCGAUUGAGAGGUUAAAAGCACUGGGAUUCCCUGAAGGUUUAGUCAUCCAGGCGUACUUUGCUUGUGAGAAGAAUGAGAAUCUAGCCGCUAACUUCCUGCUACAGCAAACAUGGGACGAUGAGUAAGCCCACAUCACCUGGCUCAUCACUGCUCAACAGAGGGCUGCAGAGUGGAUGACACCACUGCAAGUCUACCAGGGAGAAACAAGGGCAGGAGAGGAAGGGGAUAUUUCUUUUCACACCAUGAGACUGUGGCCAUUAAAUGAUGAUGAUGAUGAUGAUGACAAUGAUGACAUGGUGUUCAAAGUUAGUUGCGCUGCCUACUCUUCAUUCAGCUAUGAUGAUCAUCAUAGGUGCUACCACUGAGCGUUGCCUCACUGCUACUACAUCAUUACUGCUGACGCUUGUAUUGAGUGACCACACUGACAGAAGUCCCACCAGUAAAUUUGCAAACAUCACAGACCAGCAGGAUUUAAGUUAGAGGAUUUCCUCUGCAGUGAGCUCACAGGCUGCCUGUUGAACAUGUUAAACUACUGUACAUGUGUAUAGUAAGGUAAUAUAUAAUAAAUGAGGAAAAAAUGCAUUUUCAACAUGCGACCCUACAUGUUGGAGUUUCCUGAACAUUUGACUAAAACUGUUCACCUCACUGUUUGGAAGCUACUAUUGAUUUAGAUCAAAGCUCAUAUUGGAUCCUCUCACUUCUGCUGCUUCUUUUGUCCAUGCAAAAAGUCUUUGCACAUUCUUUCAAAUUCUUCUAUUGGUGUCUGACCGUGUAGAUGUGUAAAAGGUGACUGAGUGUCACAGCUGGAUAGUUGAAAUGUUGACACCUAUGUAACCGUUCCCCAAAAAGGAGAAAUGAUAAAAUGUUUUAAUUGAGAUCAUUUAAAUUUGAAUUAAAUGUAGAAAUGUUAAUGUCCUCUGUCUUUUACAAGUCGAGACUAUCUCAAAGUUUUGUCUUUUUGAUGACUGACUUACUCAGUCUGUUGCAUUAAAAAUGCACAUCUGAUAAUAUCAUAAAGAGUUCAGUGCAAUUAGGGUUAGAGAAACUCAUUUUCCACAAGACACCUGUUAAGUCAGAAUGAAUCACUCACACAAGUGCAGUUAAACUGUUGUUGCCUUGUUAAGGAAAGCUCUGGGGACAGCUGAUAAUAAUGAUAAUAAGGCAAAUAAAGAAUAAGUGAUGUAAUUUGUCGUCUGCUGUUGCUGCUUCUCCUCUUCCUUCUCCGCCAAGCAUUUGAGGUUUUAGUAGCUCCUCCCUGGGUCUGCUCUUGUGCCCUGCAUUUUGACUUAAAGGUGUGUUGUUGUUUUUUUUGUUUUGUUUUUUUUUGUUUUGUUUUGUUUUGGUUUCUUUCUUUUUUUUCAGUUUUUUGUGAUGGUGUGAUUGAGUCACUGCAGUUUGGUACUUUAUUUUAGUGUCAUUACAUUAUUAGUACAAACUGCAUCUAUUAGUUACAUUUUUUCUUGAUGGUUUGGAUAAGUAAUAUUUUACUUUAUGUAAUAUUAGGGGCAAGGGUUAAUUUAUACAUUUCAGUCAAUAAAAUAAACUUAAGGAUGAUUCAUAGAGCAGACAAAUCCUGAAAGUACAGAAAUAUACACGAUACUUUCCCCAGCUGACCCAAGGGAGACUCCUGUUUUUUAUUUACUCUCAAUGAUUGCUGUUUUAAUUUGACAUUCUCACAUUUAUAUUGGAGAAAUGAUAAGAAACUGUAGGCAUUCAUUGGUCUUAUAUAAUAGAGCAGUUAACUUCACUACCCACUGAAAUACAUUUGUCAUUCACCAAGACAACGAGAAAGCCUUUUUAGGUUCGUACUGGGAGGGAAAACUAUGUUUGUGCUUUUUCUGCAUAGAAUAAACUUCUAGGAGGUUUUAACUAGUUUUUUUUUUUAACCACUUUUGUUAGAUUGGACCUUACAUUACUAUUCGUGUAGCCAUAAAGGGAAAAAAAUAUGAAAAUGUGAAACUUUCUGUCAACAAAGAAUCCAUGAAUUUCUUUUAAACAAUCAUUUUCUGUUCAGUGUUCUCAUAUCACAUCCUCUAUGCAUCUUGAAACUGGAAACGGGUUAAGCUGCUGUUCCUCCACACCUUACAGUCAAAGACUUCACCAUAUUUUAUUUUACAAAUAGUGUUCAUUUAAAAGUGGACUAAAAGAAAUGGGAAUGUUAAGUCGUUUUUCAGCAUCCAGUGUACUUGUGUUUCGACACACAAUUGUUCUGUAGCGUUGUUAAUGGGCGAAACUAUGUGAGCGAGAACUUGUAUUUUGCUGUGACAAAUGCUCCUUAGCUUGUUCCUUGCAAAAGAGUUUUAUUUAUGGCAUGCCUUUGGAUUAAGGAUUGAUAAAACUGCCAUUGUGGCAUCUCUCUGGUGUUAAUUUGUCUGUUGUUUUCUUUUUUUUGGGUCUAUAAGAAUUACUACCAACCUUAAAUGUGCGAGUUGAGAAGUAGUUGUGAUGGGUUUUUUUGUUUUGUUUAUGCGUUAUGUAUAUUAAAUGGCUUUUAAAAAAUGAA